rnacentral:rRNA from 1 species
UCCCGGGGCGGGCGGGCCUAAUACAUGCAAGUCGAGCGAUGAUUAAAGAUAGCUUGCUAUUUUUAUGAAGAGCGGCGAACGGGUGAGUAACGCGUGGGAAAUCUGCCGAGUAGCGGGGGACAACGUUUGGAAACGAACGCUAAUACCGCAUAACAAUGAGAAUCGCAUGAUUCUUAUUUAAAAGAAGCAAUUGCUUCACUACUUGAUGAUCCCGCGUUGUAUUAGCUAGUUGGUAGUGUAAAGGACUACCAAGGCGAUGAUACAUAGCCGACCUGAGAGGGUGAUCGGCCACACUGGGACUGAGACACGGCCCAGACUCCUACGGGAGGCAGCAGUAGGGAAUCUUCGGCAAUGGGGGCAACCCUGACCGAGCAACGCCGCGUGAGUGAAGAAGGUUUUCGGAUCGUAAAACUCUGUUGUUAGAGAAGAACGUUAAGUAGAGUGGAAAAUUACUUAAGUGACGGUAUCUAACCAGAAAGGGACGGCUAACUACGUGCCAGCAGCCGCGGUAAUACGUAGGUCCCAAGCGUUGUCCGGAUUUAUUGGGCGUAAAGCGAGCGCAGGUGGUUUCUUAAGUCUGAUGUAAAAGGCAGUGGCUCAACCAUUGUGUGCAUUGGAAACUGGGAGACUUGAGUGCAGGAGAGGAGAGUGGAAUUCCAUGUGUAGCGGUGAAAUGCGUAGAUAUAUGGAGGAACACCGGAGGCGAAAGCGGCUCUCUGGCCUGUAACUGACACUGAGGCUCGAAAGCGUGGGGAGCAAACAGGAUUAGAUACCCUGGUAGUCCACGCCGUAAACGAUGAGUGCUAGCUGUAGGGAGCUAUAAGUUCUCUGUAGCGCAGCUAACGCAUUAAGCACUCCGCCUGGGGGAGUACGACCGCAAGGUUGAACUCAAAGGAAUUGACGGGGGGCCCGCACAAGCGGUGGAGCAUGUGGGUUUAAUUCGAAGCAACGCGAAGAACCUUACCAGGUCUUGACAUACUCGUGCUAUCCUUAGAGAAUAAGGAGUUUCCUUCGGGACACGGGAUACAGGUGGUGCAUGGUUGUCGUCAGCUCGUGUCGUGAAGAAUGUUGGGUUAAGUCCCGCAACGAGGCGGCAACCUUAUUACUAGUUGCAUCAUUAAGGUUGGCACCUCCUAGUUGAGACUGUCCGGGUGAUUAAAACCGGAAGAAGG